GACGGAGGAUGCAAGCGUUAUCCGGAAUGAUUGGGCGUAAAGCGUCCGCAGGUGGCAGUUCAAGUCUGCUGUCAAAGACCGGGGCUUAACUUCGGAAAGGCAGUGGAAACUGAACAGCUUGAGUACGGUAGGGGCAGAGGGAAUUCCCGGUGUAGCGGUGAAAUGCGUAGAGAUCGGGAAGAACACCAAUGGCGAAAGCACUCUGCUGGGCCGAAACUGACACUCAGAGACGAAAGCUAGGGGAGCGAAUGGG
rnacentral:rRNA from 1 species